UCCGGUACCAAACAAUUCAGUAGUUGUAUAUGUCACGGACCCUGAAGAGCCUCUGUUUGUUUUGGGACUUUGAAUUAGAAAGAACACAUAAAUUGUCCAAUUAAAGAAAGUCUUUCAAAUUUUUUAAAUUAGGUUGAAAGAAUAAUUUUUUUUGAGUUUUUUUUGUUAAGUUUUUUUUGUUCGAAUAAUUUGUGACAGUUGUAGAACAACUUUGAUAGUUGUUCGAUAAAGUUUGAUAAUUAUAAAUUGUUCAAUAACUAUCAAAAUUGUUCAACAACUGCACUUAGUUAUUCCUAGUUAUGACAAUUGAGAGAAAUUGUUAAACAACUACACAAAAUUCUUCAGACAACUAAUAUAAUUAUUUCAUAACUAUGUUACAAUUAAUAUAAUUGUUCCACAGCUAUCCUAAUUAUUUUUUUUUUAAGAACAAGUUUGUGGGAUAUACUUGUUCCCUUUUUUUAAUUGGAAAUUUGCCCAGGCCUUGGUGGCUUAUUUUUCUUGUUCGUUUCAGCGGUGGUAGAACUCGGGAGACGAAAAAGCGAAGAGAGAUGUUGCGGAGUCGGUCAGAGGAAGACGAUUCUGGGUUUAUGUCAAUGGCGAUUUGGUUGGGGACCAGCAUCGCCUCCGCCUUCUUCCAGUCACUUGAACGAUGCUCCUGCAUCAACCUUAACGCCGGCAACGACUGCGACGAUGAUGGAUGUGAUUUUGAGGAGACCAAGGACCGCCCUCUUAUGCUCACCAAACCCAUCGCUCGCGACGACUCUUCUAUCACUAUUAAGCUUCCUUCUUCUUGAUUUACUUAUGUUUUUGCUGAUAUACAAGAAUUUUUUUUUUGAGUGGUGGGGUUUGUUGUGUUUGUAAAUAGUGAUGUAAAUCUGGCAUGGGUUUGUGAAUUGUGUCAAAUAGAAUAAAUUUGAGGGCAUAAAGUUCGUUUUUUUGUUGUGUUAGAAGUCUGUUAUUUCUUUGACAAUUUGUGCUCUCUGGUGACCUCUUUGAAGGCUUCAUCUUAGAUUUUAGAAGGGGAAAAAACGCAGAUAGAGAUAUCCAAGUUUAUCAGAGGAAAAAAAGGAACUUUGUGCCCUUAUUUAUGGAACAGUACGAAAAGUAGGUCGAGUUUACGAAGUCACUUAGUCGAACGAGAAAAUUAUGAAGAAAGGGAGGCUAAGGUUACUAAGUAAGGUCGGCUGGUUAAGGGAGGCUCAGGUUAUGAAAUCACCAUCUUGAUACACUGAUUUACUAUAAUAAUAAGUAGUCAUUUGUGACUUCGCCGUGGUAAGAGCUGCUUCCUCCUUGCUUGAUAGGGGGCUUCCAUUGACCAGCGUAGACAAAAAAUGCUCUCCGGAGCGGAAAGCCAUUUGUCAGACUGUAAGGAGAGGACAGCCUCUUAUUCUUGCUUGGGGGAUGGAGGUCCUACAGUUGGUAGCCACAGUAUGUCAAUGGGAACUACCAGUUGGCUUGAGUAGUUUAGUUAUGAUAAAAAGGAAGGUGAUUUAGGGAGAUAGUAGCUAAUUAAUCAUGGUUUAUAUGUUAUCAGAUAAUACAUGUAUUUGGCUGAGAUCAUACUCCAUUUGAUUGAAGUUCCAUUACUCUUUCCUUUUUAUCUUCUUCUUUCUGUGGCCAAAUUCAGACUGUCUAUAUCUGUCUAUAUUGGAUUCUGCAACAUAAAGAUUCUAUUGAUUCCGUUGCUCCGAUGUUGUUGGGAAAUUACUGUCUUUUGUAGGCUUUAAACACAGUGUAACAUAUAUGCUAGGGGUUGGCAAAUGUGUCAAAGUAUUAGGUGAAAUGGAUUGCUUAAUCUCACUUGCAAGAGAAAAUAUAGUUUGGUUGACUGGAUUUUGCUUGUCUACUUUGUUAGUGUUGCUCCAUUUUUGGGGGAUCAAUCAUGAGCUUCUAUGGUUUUUGGUUGUGGUUUUCACUUUGCAAAUUAAUCUUCUAUUCAAGGUGGAUUUCAAUUUCUUAAUGGUUUUGAGAUAUUGUUGGACGUAUUUAAUUAAUGACUUCUAAACAUGGUUUCCCCUUCCUCAUCUCCAUAUGCUUUCUGUAUCCUCAUAAAAAUCUUCUACCUAUAUUGCCAGCAUGGAUAAUGCGACUUCUCAAUCUUGCAGUAUAGCAAGAUUAAGAGGUAGCUUUAUAUCAGUAAUUUCCUUUGAAAAUCAUGUAGCCUCCGCACACAAAAUGAAGCUUAGACUUGUUGAGAUUGGUAUAUUCUCGACUUGGUGUCUUGCUGAUUGAUUUGUUCCUCUGUCAACAGACAAUUCAUGUCGCUUCAGUUAUGAUCCUCAUCUCUUCUCUGCUUGUAUUAGCUCCUCCAUAUCUUCUAUGCUCCCAAAAUAUCCUAACUGGCUAUACUUAAUGAGCCUUGCUGGGUUUAAUGAGUUGACUUACGCAGCAACUAUUCCUGCUUAAUAAAAAUUUCAAAAGGUUCUAUGAUCAGGAUUGGACACCAGAUUUGCGUGCAUACUUACCCAACAAUAAUGGAUAUGCUUUAGGGGUGAGGUAUAUGCGGUUGCAAGAGUGCAUCUUUUGUCACUCAUCAAUCUAAUGAUAUAUGAGGAAUGACUUCAAUUGUUCGACCAACCUUUCAGUUUCUAGUCUGGAGUCUGGACUGCAAUAACCUAAAAACUUCAUGCAAUUAGGAUCCAAAACUUUGGAUGAGAAGCUUGUAUGAUGAAUUGGUAGCAUACUAGCAUUAAAGACUCUCUAGAAUGAGUAUAUAAGAUUGGUCAGUGAAUUAGUAAACAAUGAUUUUUGCUUACAUUUUUGGCUGGCUGAGUGUGGCGUUCUGUGUUGAUUUUCAUUUAAUAUUUCUCACAACAGUUGGAAAAGGCUUUCAAGACCAGGAUUAAUGUGCCUUGUCAGGUAUGCAAUUUUUGAAUGGACGGGGAAGCUAACUAUGGAGAUCAGAAAAUGCGUCUUCCUGGAGAGGAACACUAGGAUGGAUAUGAAAUUUCACUACAAAUGCUGUUACUAGUUGAGGAAAAUUAGAAAAGGAGAAUCAUGUCUAGCAUAGAAAGACACUGAACUUUUGUCGAUUGAAUCAUAGAGACAUGGUUUGCGAAUUCCCUCAGAUGUUAUAUGGCUAUGAUUCUCUCAGGAAACACUAGCAGAGUGCAUAGUUCACAUCAGGAACUGGCAGCUCACAAAGGAGCAACUAGAAAAGAGAACUAAGGGUCUCCGGCAUGAAGGGUUGCAAAAGUGUGACUGAUUUACUAAUUGUACUCACAUGAAAAAAGAAAAAAAUAGAACACAUGACUUUGAUCUUCCAUAUUGCUGGAUCAAUCCACACUGAGAUGGUAGCUGUCAAAUGAUGCACCUUUUGUUCUGUACAAUGGUAACUGGUCCUUUUCGCACAAAUGUCAGUAGUUUCCAAUACAUCCAGUUUAGUAUAUGCUAAUAUCAAUAAGGGCUCUGAGAUCUGUCAAAGUGCACAACUCUUGUAGGAUUAUCAUCGUUUGUAAUAUUUCCUUUUUUCUCUCUAAGUUAUACCGUCAUUAUACAAGGCAUUUGAUGAACGAUUCAUGAAGCUGUGUCAACCUUAGAUCACUUCCACAUAUUUAACCUGGAACUGAAAGUCUUGCUAGCCUCUUCUAUUGAUAAUAUAUAUCUCGCAGGAGUUGAAAUUGAUGAAUUUUAACUCAUAUACACUGAUGAGGUAGAAAUUUAUAGAUAGAUAUUUUACACUAUCAGCGUAUUCUUAACCUACUGUACCAGGUCACAAAUUCUACCUUUCAUUGAUAUCUCAGCAAGAUGUUUGAACAUGCAACCAUGACCGGCCACGAUGUUGGCGGAACCAGUAUUUAUCCCCCAAUUAAUCAUCUGCACGAGAAACUCUGCAUGAAUGAUACUUGAAACAUAGCUACUUACGAGUAUAAAUACAGCAAUGGCAUCUGAAUGGAAGCAAAUCAUAGUACAUUUACACAGUUAGCAUAACUAUGCCCAAUUGACGUAGUAUAUGUGUAUCUGUAACUAGUAAAUUUGUCAUAGAAUGACCGAGUAAAAUUCUGAUUAGCACGGAAGUUCUUUAAAGAAAGACUAAUUAUAGAUUUUGGAGCAACUGAAGAUGGCUACUUCAAUUUAUGUCCCGUCACAUUAUCAGUCCAACAAAAGUGAACAAUGUAACAUGUUAACAGAAAAAAUGGAAAAUACAAAAGACAAUUAUUCUUCUCAUCUCUUUUAAGAUUUAAAAUAUCAGUCAUUUCAAGUUGAGAAACAUAGUUAAAAUCAAGUAACAUUGGCUCCAAAUGAACUUUGACUAAAACUAGGCUUGUGCUGGCAAGUUGGGUUUUCAAAAUUUGGCCCUCUUCAAACUGAAGAAAAGGCUAAAGAGAUCAUCAUUAUGUCUUGGCCAAAAAAAUGCGUGGAAUAAUAAUAAUUAUAACCUCUCUGUUGAAUACUGUUCCACACUGAGAUAUUACAAAGAGAAUUUUGACCCUUCAUUAUUAAUCUAAUGAACGUGGGGGCCAAGCCUAAGUGUCCACAAUCCCCAUCAUCACGUAUUAUAGUAUUCACCAUGGUGACAUCUCCUCCCACUAAUUUCAAAGUAUCAGGGUCCCUUUAUAAUUCUGUUGUCGGCUCUUCUUUAAUACUUAUACCAUGUCAAUUUAUUUGAUCCAUUUUGAUUUGAUAUGGAGUUUAAAAAAUAAAAUAAAAAUUUUAAUUUUAUAAUCUUAAGUUAGAAAUAAAUAAAAAUGAAUCAAAACACUUUUAAUCUUAUGGUUCUAACCAUAUCAUUUAAAAAUUAGAACUAA